rnacentral:rRNA from 1 species
AACGCUAGCUACAGGCUUAACACAUGCAAGUCGAGGGGCAGCAUGGUCUUAGCUUGCUAAGACUGAUGGCGACCGGCGCACGGGUGAGUAACACGUAUCCAACCUGCCGUCUACUCUUGGACAGCCAUCUGAAAGGAAGAUUAAUACAAGAUGGCAUCAUGAGUCCGCAUGUUCACAUGAUUAAAGGUAUUCCGGUAGACGAUGGGGAUGCGUUCCAUUAGAUAGUAGGCGGGGUAACGGCCCACCUAGUCUUCGAUGGAUAGGGGUUCUGAGAGGAAGGUCCCCCACAUUGGAACUGAGACACGGUCCAAACUCCUACGGGAGGCAGCAGUGAGGAAUAUUGGUCAAUGGGCGAGAGCCUGAACCAGCCAAGUAGCGUGAAGGAUGACUGCCCUAUGGGUUGUAAACUUCUUUUAUAAAGGAAUAAAGUCGGGUAUGCAUACCCGUUUGCAUGUACUUUAUGAAUAAGGAUCGGCUAACUCCGUGCCAGCAGCCGCGGUAAUACGGAGGAUCCGAGCGUUAUCCGGAUUUAUUGGGUUUAAAGGGAGCGUAGAUGGAUGUUUAAGUCAGUUGUGAAAGUUUGCGGCUCAACCGUAAAAUUGCAGUUGAUACUGGAUAUCUUGAGUGCAGUUGAGGCAGGCGGAAUUCGUGGUGUAGCGGUGAAAUGCUUAGAUAUCACGAAGAACUCCGAUUG